GGAGCUGGCGCCCUACAGGAAGUUAAAGGUCAAUGGGCUUAGGGGCGCAGGCUUGGGGGACGGGGAGACCGGGGGAACUGGGGAGGGCCGAGGCGGGAGAAGAAGGAAGCGCUGCUGCCGAACCCUCUCACGAGACGAAGGGGAGAAAAACAAAAUAGAGAGAAACCUGUUGGAGACCAGCCUGGCCAACAUGGCAAAACCCCGACUCUACUAAAAAUACAAAAAUUCACCAGACGAGGUGGUACACGCCUAUGAUCCCAGGGCUGGUGAAUUACCAGAUCUCCUCAAGUGCAGCAACCAGAUCCAGUUGGAAGUGCAUCUUUUGGAGGCAGAAAACAAAGCCAUGGCCACUGGGGCCUUUACUCAGGGCCAGCUGAAGGCAGCUUUUCAACAAUGUGUCUGUGCAUCAACACAUGUGGGUGAUGGAGGAACUGGUGUGCAGGGACAAGAACCACCCCGCCGUGGUGAUGUGGUCUGUGGCCAACAAGCCUGCAUCCUACCUGGAACCUGCCGGCUACUACUUCAGGGUCCACCUCUGAUGUUCACUGAAGAGUACCAGAAGAGUCUGCCAGAGCAGUACCAUCUGGGUCUGGAUCAAAAACGCAGAAAAUACGUGGUUGGAGAGCUUAUCGGGAAUUCUGCCGAUUUCACGACUAUGCAGUGGUUUGCUAAGCCUAGAUAGCCUCAGACUCAGCCUGGAAGAGGACAGAGGAGCCCUUCUGAAGGAGGUGCUGGGGCUGAUGGUGAUGAUCUGAAGCAUGCUCAGGAGAGAGGUGGUGCAGAUCAAGAGGCCCCUCAUUACCUUGUAUAUGUAGAACACAGCCUUACAUCUGAAGUUAUUCUGAAAAUUCUGUGACUCAAACACGUCUAGAGACAAUAACUCUGCUGCCAUGACUAGCAUCACUAUGUAGACAGAAACCAAGUGACAGAUGAUCAGGUCAUGGUUUUUUAGGCUUGUGAUCCUUAAAGAAUGUAAAAAUGUGCCAGAGAAGAAGAAAGAUGUUGGCUGAGAUUCCAAUGCCAGCUUGAAAACAAAAGGCCUUUUGAAAGAUAACAUGUGAAAUGUGUGUUCAUCCUAAUGACAUAGAAGAAACAUUUUGAAGACCUGAAAAAAGUAGAUCUGUGUCAUCAAUGUCCUUUUGUCAGUGUUCAAAAUUAUUACCAUUAUUAUUUUUAUUUUACUCUCAUUUCUUGAUUAACCCCAUCUUAUAUAAAUUCUUGAUAAUGUAUCUCCUAUACUAUUUCCUAAACCAAAUAAAUAUAUACAUAUAUAAUUAU
ensembl:lncRNA novel transcript